CUGCAGCCAUUAAGAUGAUCAGGUAGUUCCCUUUCCUCACGGGGUCCUGGUGUGCAAUGGUUGCUAGCUCCUUUGGAGUGUAUUUACCCUCUGGCCUCUAUGGGCUACCCUAAGGGACCUUGGAGACAAUU